ensembl:lncRNA
CACGAACUGAAGGGGCAUUGUUCGUCUUUUUGCGUGGACUCCCCCCGGUUCCCAGACCAGGUUAAGAAGGGAUCGCCGUAGACAGAAACACACCUGUACCAAUGAUGUACCAAUUGAACCUUUGAUAAUUCAAUUGAGGAAAUCUAGCUCCAAGAGCAAGAAAAGCAAAAUGUGACCCACACUUUGGGACCAGCUCCGAGCGGGUGUGAGCAGUGCAGAUGGAGAAAAUGAAGUGAAGAAACCAAGGGUUCUGCCUGGGAAAUCGCCCAUGCAUAAUGAAACCACCCGCUCCGCCAUUCUCAAUGCUUCGACGCUGUUGGUUCCAGCCUGCGUAUUAUUUGUAAUAUUGAUGCAUAUGUAAAAGGUAUAUUUGCAUUUGCUUUACUUUUUUAUGAUUCGUUUAGCAUUCUAUUACUUUUGGUGGUGAUUGCUAUGCGUAUUUAUCUAUGAUGACGAGCAGCUACACGAAUACAUAACCUUACGAAUCAUACACAAAUAACAGUAAAUAACAUUAUGCAAAGUGUAUUAGUUUGUUAAGAAUGUGAAAAAGUCAAAUAUAAUGUUUUUAACCUUGGACAAUGUAUGAACAAAGCGACUUGUCAAACUAUAGAAGAGAUUCAGUGCGAUUAUAAUGCUGAGGAUAUGUUCUUAUUUAAACUUGAAUUAUCUAUUUUAAAACGUUUCAAUUUAUUUAUAUACUCCAAGCAGUGUGCUGUAGAUUGUGCUUGGGAUUAGUUUACAUGAAACCUUUAGGAUCACGGUAUGUGAAAUGUGCAUUUGCAGGAUGUAAGUAGCUAAAUGUUAAGUGUUACCGCACCUUAGGUUUCUUUAAAGGCGACAUUUCCCCGGUAUAGGCUGAUGAUGCGUACACACACAGGCGGCGUUUACGGGAGCGCGCGCGCGGCCACAGCACCACCCAACCAUGCACACACACGCACGCUCACAGACACACACACACACACGCUGACAAACACACAGAAAGAAACGCUGACUUGUUAACCGUUGUCUUGAAAUAGCAAGUCUGUUAUUUUUUCCGUAGCUUAUUGUCGUUUUGUUUUAUCAAAAAAAUGUUUUGCAUAAUUAGUAUUUUGCCUGUUUAAAAUAAAAUCGCAAGGCGUCGUCUAAAGUAAAUGAGACACAUUUAACUUACCCUUAUAUUUUACAUAACCAUUCAAAUCUUCCUGGGCUAUGCACGCGCUCUCAAUCAAGUCGACGCCAAUUGUCCAGCCCAACUUAUUGUGCGAGCCGGUUGGAGAUGCUCUAGUCCCUACUCGUAACUCAGCCUCCUCGUCAAGUGAACCUUGCUCCCGAACCGCUCGUCUGAUGUGUCACCCAAUAGAAGUGGUCAGACGUGUCCACGUAGGCUAAAGAUUUUUCCCUCCAAACAGGGCUCAUGCUGUCAUGGACAUGCAAGUUGUUUGGGUUGACACAGGCUAAAUCAUAGUCUCCAACGUUCUAAGAUUAUUGCACAUCAUUUGCGCUCGUCACUUGUAAAACCAAACCACCAUUUUGCGAAUUUCUAUGAUCAAUCUAAAAGUGUGACGCACUAGGACCAAUACGUAACGUGAGGAAUGUCAGCUAUGUGACCUAGAUAAGUCGGGAGGUUCGUUUCCAAUCACUUUAAUAACACGUGUUUUACUGAUGCUGGCCCGAACAUGGUCUAUAGAAAUAUUUCGUAAAAAGAUAACUAUGUGAACAUUAUUAUUUUUUUAAAUACAAAAAUACAUUUCCUAUAUUUCGCAUUAACAUGUGCAAACAUGUUUAAUAGAAAGUCACCGACUACUGCACUUGUGCCAGUAACACGUUGACCUAAACUGGCUGAAUUUAAAUGAUUGUGAAGAAACUGCCAAAUAUUUUAAAAUAGACGGCCGUUGAGAUUUAUAACUGCAUAGGCUCGGAUAAAAAGUAGCCAAUGCUUCAAAGUAAAAUGUCCGGUCAUAAUAUAGUAGGUAGUAAUAUCGUGGGGGUCCACAUAUCUUCACAAUUCUUCGUUAUCGUCGUGUAGGCGACAGGGACUAAUAUCACUGAUUAUUUCCAAAUAAGUUAAAUGACUCAUGUACGGUCAGCCACAGUGGAAGAGAGGAUAUUUGUUUGAAGCCACUCACACUAUUUUAAAUCGCAUCUCUUUCGGCUGUUUGAAAAAUAUUAGCUAUGUUAAUUGUACCUACUAUCAGGACCGAUAUUGUGUUUUCUGAUAAUGUUUUAUGGAUUUUUAGCAUGUUUGCUGUCCGUUUUAACAAAAAAUAAAUAAAAAAAUAACGAAAUGCAUAGCAUUUAAUACUUUCUCGUAAAUUAUAGGCCUAUAUAAUCUCUAGAAAAAUAAUAUGUUAUUGAACGUUAUGGGUUUUAAUGAAUUAAUCUCACUAUAACAAAAACAUUUUUUUUUGGAUGGUUUGUGUGUGUGUGUGUGGGUGUGUGGGUGCGUGUGUGUGUGUGAGAGAGACAGAGAGUGAAAGAGAGAUAGGUUGCGAAUGUUAGUUAUAUUUUAAAAUGUUGUUACACCAAUAGGUCAACCGGUCACACACACAGGCUAUUAUUAUGAUUACAAUCACUGUUAUUGUUAUAAUUCUUAGUCAUUAUGGUUUUUAUCACUAUUAUAUAUCAGUGUGUUAUUAUUAUUUGUUAGUAUUACAUACGGGGAUUGGCUACACUAUAACAUCAGUGUACAUAACUUUAGAAUUUGACGCUGAACAAAGGCUUUAAAAUGUCUUUAGAAGGGACAAAAUUAUUUGGCAAAUAUUAAUUGAUACUUGCAAGGUGGGAAUGUUGGUGUGUGUUGACAUACAGAUUUUAUUGGGGAUUUGGAAGGGGCUACGAGUGGGGAGAGGGGAUUUUGGUAGUUAAUACAUAGCGACAUCUAGUGGUUACUGUGGGGAAAUUGCGUCACGUUUGAAGGCCACAUAUUAGUUACUCGUUUUACCAAUAUUUCGAUUAUUUCUUCUUUGUAAUUUAACGAAAUAAUGACAGCAGAAAGUAAUGUAAAUGUUGAAAUCUGAAAAUAACGAAAGACGUAUGACCGAAUAAAUGUAUGGAGGUAUGCAGCAACCACACGUCAACAAAAAGAAUAGUCUUUACUAGCCAAAAACACAACAUUCAACUCUUAGAUUUGGUGGAAUGUCUUUUUUUUCUUCCUCAAAUUAAAGAGAAAAUACAACACUUUUUUUUUGUUGCAAUAAACCUGAAUGAAAUGACGUAACAUACUAUUUCUCACUGUAUUUCUUAGUUCUUAAAAUGUCUUGACUUUAUUCUUUUUUGGACAUAUUUUUGAUAAUAGAUUUAUUUUAAAAGACUUGUCCCUGGGUAUUAUCAUGUUAUUACUAAUACUACUAAUUUAUUAGUUAUUUUUUCGACAAAUAGAUUAUUUGAAUUGCAGACAUUUACAGUAAAAUAGUUAUAUUGUGUUACACACGUGUACAAGUUUAUUUAGUUGCAAAUGUAAUAAUAUUGUUAUCUUCUUUAAUCAUAGCAUGCACUAUAGGGUACGCUUAUUUUUUUCGAUUCGUUAUUCCUGUCUGUAAAAUUUUAAUUAGCUUAGGCUACAUAAACAAAUGUUACGCGUGCAAACAAAUACAGAUAUAAAAAUUAAGGUCUCCCUUAUCUUUUUAGACUAUGAAGAAUAUUAUUAUUUUACGCCCUUACUUGAGCGGUCAGUGUACAUGCAUGCGGUGUUUGCCAAUCCCACAAAUGGUGUCCCUACACAAGUACACUGACACUUGAAGUUGUACGCGCAACAAACCGGGUCCGAAUCCGGGUCAGGAAAAUGUUGGUGUAACAUCUGAUCCAUUUGCUUUACAUUUGGUAGUUGCCUAGGUUUACGUCUAUACAAUCUAACUCGGUGUUAAGUUAUGUGAAUACAACAAGGUUAUCUCUAAGAUUUAGGACGUAAUAAAAUGUACAGCAAAGUACUUAAAAUAAAAGGUUUCAGCCGUAAACAAUCCUUAUUUUUAAUAAUUUAAUUCGAUGUACAGUGUAUUAAAUUAUUGUGCUCAGAUAGAGUUCAUAUUAUAACAAAAAUACAUGGCGGCUAUUUGAGACAAAAUUGAUAACGGUGGUUGCUCAUAGCAAUUUGUGGAAAGGUAUUUCAGCUGUUUGGUACUAAUGGCAUUAAAGUUGAGUAUUUCUUUUCAGACCACGUUGCACACAGAUUUAUUAAUCCCUGUAGUGACCGUUUUUUCAAAUGUUCCAAACUCACAUCCAUUUCAGAUCUACUAUCUCAAUGUAAAAUGAAUAUGACAAAGCACCGAUCCACUGCUCCAGGUAUUAUAUUCAUGCUUCUUAAUAAUAGGCUAUAUAUGCGACCAGUUAUUCCAUUUAAUAAGAUAGAGGACCUUUUAUUUUGUUUGUUUUUUGUUGUUGUUUUUUUUCCAUAGCAUAUGCCCAGAAUAAUAUAUGUUCAUUGUCAAAAUGUAUCACUGGCAGUAAUGAUGUUAUUUUAAUGUUAAGUGAUACAAACUGUGGCUGUAAAUGUCAAAUCAAAGUCUGCAAUUUGAGUUACCAUGAGUCAAUGCCAAGAUUAUGUGCUAGGCUAUAACAAAUAAAUCCAGAAAUGUAAUAGCCAUGUUUCAAUGUCAUGUCAUGCUUGCUAUAGCUGUUGAAAAAAAUGGCACCAUAUAAGAUUGUCACCAUCAUUAUCCGCGGUUACUGUUGGUUUGUCUACUGUAAACUGUUAAGCUAACGAAAUUACGUUUAUAUGGAAGAUACAUGCCUUCACGUUUAAUCUACUAUGUUAAGGUAUCAAGGUGAAGGGCAAACAGUAUACAGAGAAAUGGACAAACACAAUGAAGUCACACCAGAACAUCAGGGUAACUAAGAAAACCAGUAACUUUACUGAAUUCUCUGAAAAAUACAAAUACCCUUU